AACGAACGCUGGCGGCAGGCCUAACACAUGCAAGUCGAGCGGACAUCUUCGGAUGUUAGCGGCGGACGGGUGAGUAACGCGUGGGAACGUGCCCUUUGCUUCGGAAUAGCCUCGGGAAACUGGGAGUAAUACCGGAUGUACCCUUUGGGGGAAAGAUUUAUCGGCAAAGGAUCGGCCCGCGUUGGAUUAGGUAGUUGGUGGGGUAAUGGCCUACCAAGCCGACGAUCCAUAGCUGGUUUGAGAGGAUGAUCAGCCACACUGGGACUGAGACACGGCCCAGACUCCUACGGGAGGCAGCAGUGGGGAAUCUUAGACAAUGGGGGAAACCCUGAUCAAGCCAUGCCGCGUGAGCGAUGAAGGCCUUAGGGUUGUAAAGCUCUUUCACCGGGGAAGAUAAUGACGGUACCCGGAGAAGAAGCCCCGGCUAACUCCGUG
rnacentral:rRNA from 1 species